rnacentral:rRNA from 1 species
CUUGGCACUCUCAGUUCCACACUUCCCCUAGUCCUUGUCCUCUGCUCCCUUGUCCAUGCAUCUUCAUUAGGUGCCACGACACUCCAAAAUGAUUCUAACACCGACCUUCAUGCUCUCCGCUGCCUUAAACUCCAUCUCACCAGCUCUGCUAGACUCCUAGCCUCCUGGACAAAUGACUCGCUGCAGUUCUGCGGUUGGUCCGGUGUUACUUGCAGCAAGACACACGCAUCUCGUGUCGUUGCACUGGACCUCGAGUCACUUGAACUCAAUGGACAGAUACCGCCUUGUAUAGGCAAUCUCAGUUUCCUCACUAGAAUCCACAUCCCAAAUAAUCAACUUGCUGGCCAAAUAACACCUGAACUUGGCUAUCUAAAUAGGCUGCGGUAUCUUAACCUCAGCACAAAUCAUCUUAGAGGCACGAUUCCGAGCACUCUGUCUUCAUGCCUUCGCCUUCAAAUUAUUGAUCUUGGGAGUAACUCCCUUCAUGGUGAGAUCCCCCCAACCCUGAGCCGAUGUUCACAUAUACAACAGCUCAACUUGGGUCACUACAUGCUCACUGGCGGUAUCCCACAAGGGUUGGGGAUGCUCUGCAACCUUUCAGUUUUGGAUCUUGCUAGCAAUAGUCUGACGGGUGACAUUCCACUUUCACUUGGAAGCAGCUCUUAUCUUCAUUCUGUUGUUCUCACAAACAAUAGCCUCACAGGACCUAUCCCGCUUCAUCUAGCUAAUAGUUCAUCACUUCAACUUUUAUCAUUGACAAGAAAUAGCCUGGGUGGAGAGAUUCCUUCUGCGCUGUUUAACAGCACGUCACUUCAAAAGUUAUCACUAGGACUAAACAACUUUGUCGGGUCCAUACCAGCUUCGUCGAACAUUGAUUCACCCUUACAAUACCUUUCUGGCACCAUACCUCCUCGUUUAGGGCUUGUUCGAUUAGCCUUAGGGAAUUUUUCUUCCCUUCGCCGGCUUUCCCUAGCAGAUAAUAAUUUCCAAGGUAGAAUCCCGAUGAGUAUAGGCAAUAUUCCAUACCUGCAAGUACUAGAUCUCACUUAUAACUUCUUGUCAGGGACUGUCCCUGGCACUCUCUACAACAUGUCAGCACUUACAUACCUUGGCAUGGGUACAAACAUACUUGUAGGGGAAAUUCCAUAUAACAUCGGGUAUACCCUUCCAAAUAUCCAAACUUUGAUUAUGCAAGGAAACCAAUUCCAAGGCCAAAUCCCCACUUCACUAGCCAACACAACCAAUCUUCCGAUGAUCGACCUCCAAGAGAAUCAAUUCCAUGGUAUUGUUCCUUCUCUUGGGACUCUUCCUAGUCUAGUCGAUCUAGAUCUAGGUGGGAAUCAACUUGAAGCAGGAGAUUGGUCUUUUUUAUCCUCAUUGACCAAUUGCACACAACUGGUGAAGUUGCGUUUGGAUGAAAAUAACCUUCAGGGUGUCUUGCCCAAGUCCAUUUGA